GGUCGGAUGGCGUAGUUGGUUAUCGCAUCUGUCUAACAUGGAAUGGGUUCGUCAAAGAAUCGUCCUGUGGACACAGAAGGUCCCCAGUUCGAGCCUGGGUUCGAUCA